CGAACGAUGAAGCCCAGCUUGCUGGGUGGAUUAGUGGCGAACGGGUGAGUAACACGUGAGUAACCUGCCCCCGACUCUGGGAUAAGCCCGGGAAACUGGGUCUAAUACCGGAUAUGACCUCGCACCGCAUGGUGCGGGGUGGAAAGAUUUAUCGGUGGGGGAUGGACUCGCGGCCUAUCAGCUUGUUGGUGAGGUAAUGGCUCACCAAGGCGACGACGGGUAGCCGGCCUGAGAGGGUGACCGGCCACACUGGGACUGAGACACGGCCCAGACUCCUACGGGAGGCAGCAGUGGGGAAUAUUGCACAAUGGGCGCAAGCCUGAUGCAGCGACGCCGCGUGAGGGAUGACGGCCUUCGGGUUGUAAACCUCUUUCAGUAGGGAAGAAGCGAAAGUGACGGUACCUGCAGAAGAAGCGCCGGCUAACUACGUGCCAGCAGCCGCGGUAAUACGUAGGGCGCAAGCGUUAUCCGGAUUUAUUGGGCGUAAAGAGCUCGUAGGCGGUUUGUCGCGUCUGCCGUGAAAGUCCGAGGCUCAACCUCGGAUCUGCGGUGGGUACGGGCAGACUAGAGUGAUGUAGGGGAGACUGGAAUUCCUGGUGUAGCGGUGAAAUGCGCAGAUAUCAGGAGGAACACCGAUGGCGAAGGCAGGUCUCUGGGCAUUUACUGACGCUGAGGAGCGAAAGCAUGGGGAGCGAACAGGAUUAGAUACCCUGGUAGUCCAUGCCGUAUACGUUGGGCACUAGGUGUGGGGGACAUUCCACGUUUUCCGCGCCGUAGCUAACGCAUUAAGUGCCCCGCCUGGGGAGUACGGCCGCAAGGCUAAAACUCACAGGAAUUGACGGGGGCCCGCACAAGCGGCGGAGCAUGCGGAUUAAUUCGAUGCAACGCGAAGAACCUUACCAAGGCUUGACAUGUGCCAGACCGCUCCACAGAUGGGGUUUCCCCUCGGGGCUGGUUCACAAGUGGUGCAUGGUUGUCGUCAACUCUU
rnacentral:rRNA from 1 species